rnacentral:rRNA from 1 species
ACGGAGGGUGCAAGCGUUAUCCGGAAUCACUGGGUUUAAAGGGUGCGUAGGCGGCCUGAUAAGUCAGAGGUGAAAUACUGUCGCUCAACGAUAGCAUUGCCUUUGAUACUGUUGGGCUUGAAUCAGAAUGAGGUUAGCGGAAUGUGACAUGUAGCGGUGAAAUGCAUAGAUAUGUCAUGGAACACCGAUUGCGAAGGCAGCUGACUGGAACUUGAUUGACGCUGAGGCACGAAAGCGUGGGGAGCGAACAGG